rnacentral:rRNA from 1 species
GGCUUAAUUUGACUCAACACGGGGAAACUCACCCGGUCCGGACACUGGAAGGAUUGACAGAUUAAAAGCUCUUUCUUGAUUCAGUGGGUGGUGGUGCAUGGCCGUUCUUAGUUGGUGGAGUGAUUUGUCUGGUUAAUUCCGAUAACGAACGAGACUCUAGCCUGCUAACUAGUUCGCCGGCAGCUCUUGUCGCGCGGCGCCGCUUCGGCGGCAAACUUCUUAGAGGGACAGGUGGCGUUUAGCCACACGAAGUAGAGCAAUAACAGGUCUGUGAUGCCCUUAGAUGUCCGGGGCCGCACGCGCGCUACACUGAAAGAAUCAACGUGGAUGCCCACCUGCUCCGAGAGGAGUGGGAAACCCGCUGAAUCUCUUUCGUGAUGGGGAUUGGGGCUUGUAAUUGUUCCCCAUGAACGAGGAAUUCCCAGUAAGCGUCAGUCAUCAGCUGGCGCUGAUUACGUCCCUGCCCUUUGUACACACCGCCCGUCGCUACUACCGAUUGAAUGGUUUAGUGAGACCCUCGGACUGAAGUCCGGCUGCCGCUUUCGGGUGGUGGAAGGGGACGGAAAGACGGUCGAACUUGAUCAUUUAGAGGAAGUAA